rnacentral:rRNA from 1 species
CCUACGGGGGGCUGCAGUGGGGAAUAUUGGACAAUGGGGGGAACCCUGAUCCAGCCAUGCCGCGUGUGUGAAGAAGGCCCUCGGGUUGUAAAGCACUUUCAGUGAGGAAGAACGCCUGGUGGUUAAUACCCAUCAGGAAAGACAUCACUCACAGAAGAAGCACCGGCUAACUCCGUGCCAGCAGCCGCGGUAAUACGGAGGGUGCGAGCGUUAAUCGGAAUUACUGGGCGUAAAGCGCGCGUAGGUGGCUUGAUAAGCCGGUUGUGAAAGCCCCGGGCUCAACCUGGGAACGGCAUCCGGAACUGUCAAGCUAGAGUGCAGGAGAGGAAGGUAGAGUUCCCGGUGUAGCGGUGAAAUGCGUAGAGAUCGGGAGGAAUACCAGUGGCGAAGGCGGCCUUCUGGACUGACACUGACACUGAGGUGCGAAAGCGUGGGUAGCAAACAGGAUUAGAUACCCCAGUAGUC